CCUACUCCCACCCUAUGUUUACCUCUGAAUAGUUGCUUUGGCGGACCGGGAUCGUUACACAUCCCCGCCGGCUUCGGCUGGCGAGUGCCCGCCGGAGGACCACCAAACCCUGUUUGAAUGUGUCGUCUGAGUGGCUUUGAAAAUUGAAUCAAAACUUUCAACAACGGAUCUCUUGGUUCUGGCAUCGAUGAAGAACGCAGCGAAAUGCGAUAAGUAAUGUGAAUUGCAGAAUUCAGUGAAUCAUCGAAUCUUUGAACGCACAUUGCGCCCCGUGGUAUUCCGCGGGGCAUGCCUGUUCGAGCGUCAGUACAACACUCAAGCUCUGCUUGGUAUUGGACCGCAUCAGUUCUGAUCGGUCUUAAAAUCAGUGGCGGUGCCAUCGUGCUCUAAGCGUAGUAAUACUCCUCGCUACAGGGUCCUCGGUGCGUGCUUGCCAGCAACCCCCAACUUCUAAGUUUGACCUCGGAUCAGGUAGGGAUACCCGCUGAACUUAA
rnacentral:rRNA from 1 species